GAGCCAAAGAAAGACAUGUUCAUGCUAUCCGUUGAUCCCGAGGAUGCGCCGAACCAACCCGAAUAUGUUGAGAUUGAAAUUGUCUCAGGACUUCCUGUUGGUGUCAAUGGGAAAAAGCUGUCACCAGCUUCCCUUCUCGACAAACUCAACGAAAUCGGCGGGAAACACGGCAUCGGCCGGGUCGACAUGGUCGAAAACCGUCUCGUUGGCAUGAAAAGCCGUGGCGUGUACGAAACACCAGGAGGAACCAUCCUAUUCACAGCUGCACGGGAACUCGAAUCCUUAACACUAGACCGCGAGACCAUACAAGUCAAAGACUCACUCGCCCUCAAAUAUGCCGAGCUGGUGUAUGCAGGCCGAUGGUUCGACCCACUCCGUGUAGCCAUGGAUGGAUUCAUGGAGAAGAUAACCGCAACAACCACCGGAACGGUCACACUCAAACUGUA
rnacentral:misc_RNA from 1 species